rnacentral:rRNA from 1 species
UACAGAGGGUGCGAGCGUUGUUCGGAAUUACUGGGCGUAAAGCGUGCGCAGGCGGUUUUGUAAGACUGUCGUGAAAUCCCCGGGCUUAACCUGGGAAUGGCGAUGGUGACUGCAAGGCUAGAGUUUGGCAGAGGGGGGUAGAAUUCCACGUGUAGCAGUGAAAUGCGUAGAGAUGUGGAGGAACACCGAUGGCGAAGGCAGCCCCCUGGGUCAAAACUGACGCUCAUGCACGAAAGCGUGGGGAGCAAACAGG